CAAAGAAUACUGUGGUUUUUAUUGGAUUUAAAGGAAUAGAGCUCAUAAGUGCUUUCUAUGAUUGUUUUAUGUUAUUAUUAUAAGGCUAGCCUUAGCUGUGUAUGGUUGUUUGGUCUGGAGCUCCUUCAGCCAGAAGUGCCCUUCUAUCCAACAGGCAAAUUGCUACUCCUGCUUCAAAACCCACUGUCUCCUCCUCCAAGAAGUCUUCCCUAUCCACACCCUCAAGGAGUCCCCUAAGCCACCCCCCACCCCCUACCGUCUGGCUGAGCCCGUCCACCAUCUGUAUUGGGCUCUGUCUGCCCCAGAUGGGGCAGGGGAGAGUCCUGUAAGCUGGGUAGGCAGGACCUGUCUUGGCCUCUAAGUAUGGGGAGCUGCCCUGGGCAGACUCUGCCAGCCCCACUUUUCAAGGAGUCGAAAAACUGGCUCCUUCAGUCUCCUCUGCUGUGCACCUGCUGUUCCCUCUGACCCAACACCUUUUCCUACCCUCUCCUUUCUCCUAGCCAGAAAGCCCUCUGGGACACCCUAAUACUGCUCUUCCAUUGGGACCAAUCCUAUCCCCACCUCACCAGGCAGUUCAAUAGGAGGCCUGAAUCCAUCAACCAGCCAUAUGCAGUGAACUAGGGGUAACUCCUAUUCUCUCAUUCAUUCGACAGAUACUGACUGAGCACCUACUGUGAGCCAAGCGAUGGGGACACACACGAAUGACACAAACACCCUCACCCCGCACCCGGUCUGAAAGAGGAACCUGUCAAACACGGCUUCAAGGAGGCUGAAGGGUGCCCCCUCCAUGGACGGGGGUAUGUUUUAGAGUUGGGUGAUCUGGGAGGGGCACCCUGGGAGGUGAUGCUGAACGAAGGAGAAGCUGGAGCAAAUCUUGAGCUAAUUUGAAGGCCCAACCUCCCAGACUGUGGGAACAGCAAAAGCAAACGCCCUGGGGCAGAAACCAGCUGGCCACGUUGAUGGAGAGAGGCAGGUGCCUCUGGAUUGGGUGAGCCAGGGGAAGCCAGAGGGAGAGAAGGAAAGCAAGGGUGCAGGACUUCUACAGAACCCGGUGGUAUUUGUCCCAAGAGUAGUGGAAAUGGCUGUAGAAGAUGGGAUUGAGGGAGAAGCCGGUAACAGGGCUCAGCCUGGACUCUGCAUUUUCGCCCUUCCUCUCCCAGCCCCUCCAGGAGUCUCAGGACAUUAUCUCACUUCCCAGAUCAGCGUCCAGGGAGGGUGCGGGACCCACCCGGUCGAAAGAAUCCCCAACCCCUACCCCCACCCACCCAUCCCCGUUUGGAACGGAAGCUGAAACUAACCCCCACCCCUCUCCCAGCCACGGCUCUAAUCUCUGCCGCUCUGGCGCCUCUUUCUCGAGAGCGAAGAGUUUACCCUUCUUGUUUAAAGCGACCUGCAACUCGGUUUAAUGUUUAGUCUUUAUUUGAAGACCCAGAGAACUAAAAUCUACUCGAUGAAACGGAAAGCCCCAAAGAAAGAGAAAGAAGGAGUUAAUCAGGAAGCAGAAAGGGGUGAGGCGGAGGGGACCUCUCCAUGGGGAGGUACGCGGGGAAUGUCCCGCGGCGCUCGGGACACCGCGGGGCUGGGUAGAGUUUAUGGGGAACGUCCUCCGACACUUAGGACCCACCGGCUGGUGGGGGCGGGGCUUGCGAUCACAGUCCCCGAGUGACGGGACCCCGCUAGGGGGCCGGGGGAGGGGCGCCGGCCUUGGGCCGGGGGCGCGUCGGCCCCGGCGCAUUCCUGAGGAUCAGGUUACCGGCCUAGGCGGCGGCCCCUCCCCUCCCUUCCAGCCUGGCUUCCGCCCUCGCCAGGGGCAGGAACCACAGUCACCUCCCCCGUCCUGUGCAGGUGCUUGGCCAGCCGCAGGGAGGGGAUCCACACCCUGUCCUCUGGGCCGGCUCUGACGCUCUCCAGUCUCACAAGACCAUUUUACAGACGAGGAAACCGACGCGUCCUCAGCGCCUUUUCGGCACUGGUGGAACCAGACUGAUAGAGCUUGCUUUACGACCCGUGUGGCCCAGUUGACUCCACCGAGGCUGCAGUGUCCCCAGCCUCUCGUAGGCAGGCCGGGAAGAGCGGCUCAGUCUAAGUCCAGUGUUCAUUGAUUGUCCUGGGUGAGCCCAGAAGGGCGCCGGCUCAAGGAGAGAACCACGCCUCCCAACACCUUCCCUACCAGAUUCCUGCGCUCAUCCAGGGAACUCUGCUGUAUACCCAGGCCCAGCCUCAAGCACCAUCAAUCACCCCUUCCACCACCCACUCUUGAGCACCUACUGUGUGUCCGGGCUCUGUGUGCUGGGGGAGGGUUUUCCAUCAUCCCUCAUCACCUCCUAAGCUGAUCCGCGAAUAGAAGACAGGACAGAACCACCAUAAUGAAGAAAUAUGCUUUAGGCUGAUGUCACUCUCUCUCCUUCAGGUCGACCCCUUUUUCUGUUUUUACUUGGGUAAAUAUAUUUCAAAAGGGAAACUUCAUGUCACCGCCAA